rnacentral:rRNA from 1 species
AGCGAACGCUGGCGGCAGGCCUAACACAUGCGAGUCGAACGGACUCUUCGGAGUUAGUGGCGGACGGGUGAGUAACACGUGGGAACGUGCCUUUAGGUUCGGAAUAACUCAGGGAAACUUGUGCUAAUACCGAAUGUGCCCUUCGGGGGAAAGAUUUAUCGCCUUUAGAGCGGCCCGCGUCUGAUUAGCUAGUUGGUGAGGUAACGGCUCACCAAGGCGACGAUCAGUAGCUGGUCUGAGAGGAUGGCCAGCCACACUGGGACUGAGACACGGCCCAGACUCCUACGGGAGGCAGCAGUGGGGAAUCUUGCGCAAUGGGCGAAAGCCUGACGCAGCCAUGCCGCGUGAAUGAUGAAGGUCUUAGGAUUGUAAAAUUCUUUCACCGGGGACGAUAAUGACGGUACCCGGAGAAGAAGUCCCGGCUAACUUCGUGCCAGCCGCCGCCGUAA